CCCACUUAGCACAGCCACCAUUGCUAUCAUAGCAACGCAGCGACGAUCCUCCAGACCUCCACGCGCUGUUGAGGUGAUAAUUCAAUAUGUCCUGUAUCUCCUGAUCUAGAAUCACCGUAGGCCAUAGCAGCGGCGUCUCAUCCGAUCGAAUCACUGCAAGCGAUGGGGCAUGCAUCCCCUCCGCCUGGUAUGCAAAGUGCUGAUGAUGGGCGCAGCUCUCUCACUCGGACAUGGAAGGAGAAACGGAAUUGAGGAGCCCAUCGCAGUUAUCUUCGUGGUUUGCUAGGUGCUCCAUGGAUAUCCCGAUCAACAAAUUUAUUGCUUUGUGUAUUAGGAUUGAGUAGAUGAGAAGCUCAAGUGCAGAGAAUUUGUGGCUUUAAAAUGUGCAGAAUUGCAUGUUGGCUCUUGAUCUGAAGAAAAAUAAAUGAAACUCAUUCCUUGGUGGACUGAUUGGAGAUGCAUCAACACAGCAUAUACAGUCACUUACUUGACUCUAAAUUAACCUCCGCACGGAAGAGCAGAAUAAGAAACUUUAUUGGAAUGGAGUGUUAACUGUUCAUUACUGUCGGAAGCAAUUUUUAGAUACCUACAAUGUUGGAUCUUGUGGAUCCUGGCUACCGUACAUAAUAUGGUUUUUUGGACCAUAAUAUGUAGUGCUCUUUUUACUAGCAGUUGUACUUGCCUAUGCUUAUUAUUUCAGAGAUGAUUUCCUUCUGAAAUGACUGAAUUGUUGCAUCCUGCUUUAAUUUCAA